rnacentral:rRNA from 1 species
UACGAAGGGGGCUAGCGUUGCUCGGAAUCACUGGGCGUAAAGCGCACGUAGGCGGACUCUUAAGUCGGUGGUGAAAUCCUGGAGCUCAACUCCAGAACUGCCUUCGAUACUGAGAGUCUCGAGUCCGAGAGGAGGUGAGUGGAACUGCGAGUGUAGAGGUGAAAUUCGUAGAUAUUCGCAAGAACACCAGUGGCGAAGGCGGCUCACUGGCUCGGUACUGACGCUGAGGUGCGAAAGCGUGGGGAGCAAACAGGG